GGCUUCGUAGCUCAGCUGGUAGAGUGUGCGCUGUACAAAACUGUGGGCGGCGGUCAUGUGUGGGUUCGAAUCCCACCGAAGCUA
rnacentral:tRNA from 1 species